AUUGAACGCUGGCGGCAUGCCUUACACAUGCAAGUCGAACGGCAGCACGGGUGCUUGCACCUGGUGGCGAGUGGCGAACGGGUGAGUAAUACAUCGGAACAUGUCCUGUAGUGGGGGAUAGCCCGGCGAAAGCCGGAUUAAUACCGCAUACGAUCUACGGAUGAAAGCGGGGGACCUUCGGGCCUCGCGCUAUAGGGUUGGCCGAUGGCUGAUUAGCUAGUUGGUGGGGUAAAGGCCUACCAAGGCGACGAUCAGUAGCUGGUCUGAGAGGACGACCAGCAAAACUGGGACUGAGACACGGCCCAGACCCCUACGGAAGGCAGCGGUGGGAAAUUUUGGACAAUGGGCGAAAGCCUGAUCCAGCAAUGCGGCGGGUGGGAAGAAGGCCUUCGGGUUGUAAAGCACUUUUGUCCGGAAAGAAAUCCUUGGCCCUAAUACGGCCGGGGAUGACGGUACCGGAAGAAUAAGCACCGGCUAACUACGUG
rnacentral:rRNA from 1 species